rnacentral:rRNA from 1 species
GGUUAAGUGACUAAGCGUAUACGGUGGAUGCCUAGGCAGUUAGAGGCGAUGAAGGACGUGUAAAUCUGCGAAAAGCUGUGGUGAGGUGAUAAAACCCGUUUGAGCCACAGAUAUCCGAAUGGGGCAACCCAGUGCACUUGUGCAUUAUCACUUAGUAAAUACAUAGCUAAGUGAGGCGAACCGGGAGAACUGAAACAUCUAAGUACCCCGAGGAAAAGAAAUCAACCGAGAUUCCCCCAGUAGCGGCGAGCGACCGGGGAGUAGCCCUUAAGCAGCUUGAAGAUUAGUGGAAGGCUCUGGAAAGUGCCGCCGUAGUGGGUGAUAGCCCCGUACACGACAAUCUUUUUGCUGUGAAAACGAGUAAGACGGGACACGUGUUAUCCUGUUUGAAGAUGGGGGGACCAUCCUCCAAGGCUAAAUACUCCUAACUGACCGAUAGUGAACCAGUACCGUGAGGGAAAGGCGAAAAGAACCCCUGUGAGGGGAGUGAAAUAGAACCUGAAACCGUAUACGUACAAGCAGUGGGAGCAGACUUGUUCUGUGACUGCGUACCUUUUGUAUAAUGGGUCAGCGACUUAUAUUUUGUAGCGAGGUUAACCGCAUAGGGGAGCCGUAGCGAAAGCGAGUCUUAACUGGGCGCUUAGUUGCAAGGUAUAGACCCGAAACCCNNNNNNNNNNNNNNNNNNNNNNNNNNNNNNNNNNNNNNNNNNNNNNNNNNNNNNNNNNNNNNNNNNNNNNNNNNNNNNNNNNNNNNNNNNNNNNNNNNGGUGACUGCGUACCUUUUGUAUAAUGGGUCAGCGACUUAUAUUUUGUAGCGAGGUUAACCGCAUAGGGGAGCCGUAGCGAAAGCGAGUCUUAACUGGGCGCUUAGUUGCAAGGUAUAGACCCGAAACCCGGUGAUCUAGCCAUGGGCAGGUUGAAGGUUGAGUAACAUCAACUGGAGGACCGAACCCACGCCUGUUGAAAAAGGCGGGGAUGACCUGUGGCUGGGGGUGAAAGGCCAAUCAAACCGGGAGAUAGCUGGUUCUCCCCGAAAGCUAUUUAGGUAGCGCCUCGGACGAAUACCUGCGGGGGUAGAGCACUGUUUGGGCUAGGGGGUCAUCCCGACUUACCAACCCCAUGCAAACUCCGAAUACCGCAGAGUACUAUCCGGGAGACACACGGCGGGUGCUAACGUCCGUCGUGAAGAGGGAAACAACCCAGACCGCCAGCUAAGGUCCCAAAGUUCUAGUUAAGUGGGAAACGAUGUGGAAAGGCCCAGACAGCUAGGAGGUUGGCUUAGAAGCAGCCAUCCUUUAAAGAAAGCGUAAUAGCUCACUAGUCGAGUCGGUCUGCGCGGAAGAUGUAACGGGGCUCAAACUAGACACCGAAGCUGCGGCAGCAUACUUGUAUGCUGGGUAGGGGAGCGUUGUGUAAGCCGUUGAAGGUGGAUUGAGAAGUCUGCUGGAGGUAUCACAAGUGCGAAUGCUGACAUGAGUAACGAUAAUGGGGGUGAAAAACCCCCACGCCGGAAGACCAAGGUUUCCUGUCCCAUGCUAAUCAGGGCAGGGUAAGUCGGCCCCUAAGGCGAGGCAGAAAUGCGUAGUCGAUGGGAAACGGGUUAAUAUUCCCGUACCGGUGUUAUCAGUGAUGGGGGGACGGAGAAGGCUAUGCAAGCUUGGCGUUGGUUGUCCAAGUGAAAGUGCGUAGGGAGUGUUCUUAGGUAAAUCCGGGGACAUAAUUCCGAGACACGAGACGAGCCACCAAGGUGGCGAAGUUGCAGAUGCCAUGCUUCCAGGAAAAGCCUCUAAGCUUAUGAUAACACUGACCGUACCCCAAACCGACACAGGUGGUCAGGUAGAGAAUACCAAGGCGCUUGAGAGAACUCGGGUGAAGGAACUCGGCAAAAUAGUACCGUAACUUCGGGAGAAGGUACGCCCCUGGACGUGAAGGACUUGCUCCGUAAGCGUCUGGGGGUCGCAGUGACCAGGUGGCUGGGACUGUUUAUUAAAAACACAGCACUGUGCUAAAUCGAAAGAUGACGUAUACGGUGUGACACCUGCCCGGUGCCGGAAGGUUAAUUGAUGGGGUUAGCUUAGGCGAAGCUCUUGAUCGAAGCCCCGGUAAACGGCGGCCGUAACUAUAACGGUCCUAAGGUAGCGAAAUUCCUUGUCGGGUAAGUUCCGACCUGCACGAAUGGUGUAACCAUGGCCACGCUGUCUCCACCCGAGACUCAGUGAAAUUGAAAUCGCCGUGAAGAUGCGGUGUACCCGCGGCUAGACGGAAAGACCCCGUGAACCUUUACUACAGCUUGGCACUGAACAUUGACCCUACAUGUGUAGGAUAGGUGGGAGGCUUUGAAGCAUUGUCGCCAGAUGAUGUGGAGCCGCCCUUGAAAUACCACCCUUGUAUGUUCGAUGUUCUAACGUUGGUCCCUGAAUCGGGAUUGCGGACAGUGUCUGGUGGGUAGUUUGACUGGGGCGGUCUCCUCCCAAAGAGUAACGGAGGAGCACGAAGGUCGGCUAAUCCUGGUCGGACAUCAGGAGGUUAGUGUAAUGGCAUAAGCCGGCUUAACUGCGAGACAGACACGUCGAGCAGGUACGAAAGUAGGUCAUAGUGAUCCGGUGGUUCUGUAUGGAAGGGCCAUCGCUCAACGGAUAAAAGGUACUCCGGGGAUAACAGGCUGAUACCGCCCAAGAGUUCAUAUCGACGGCGGUGUUUGGCACCUCGAUGUCGGCUCAUCACAUCCUGGGGCUGAAGUCGGUCCCAAGGGUAUGGCUGUUCGCCAUUUAAAGUGGUACGCGAGCUGGGUUUAGAACGUCGUGAGACAGUUCGGUCCCUAUCUGCCGUGGGCGCUGGAUGAUUGAGGGGAGCUGCUCCUAGUACGAGAGGACCGGAGUGGACGAACCGCUGGUGUUCGGGUUGUGAUGCCAAUCGCAUUGCCCGGUAGCUACGUUCGGAAUCGAUAACCGCUGAAAGCAUCUAAGCGGGAAGCGAGCCCCAAGAUGAGUCAUCCCUAGACCUUUAAGGUCUCUGAAGGGUUGUUCAAGACGAGAACGUUGAUAGGCAGGGUGUGGAAGCGUUGUAAGGCGUUAAGCUAACCUGUACUAAUUGCCCGUGAGGCUUAACCAU